rnacentral:rRNA from 1 species
AUGGCCGAAUGCUUCAAUAAGGUGCUCAAAGGUGCACGUGGAUUACCCGUGACGACAAUAGUUCAAUACACAUUUGCCAAGAUGAAUGCGUACUUUCUAUCGAUGGAAACGGAUGCACAUAUAGCGGGUGAGAACAAGCGCAAGUACAAGUACAAGUUUCCACCCAAGGUUGAUGAAUGGUUGGAAUUUCAAUCGCGGAAGGCGGACUCAGAAAAAGCUAUACUAUAUGGCAACGAAGAGUGGAAGUAUGAAGUGAAAGAGCCAGGAGGAACCACAAAUGAUGGCCGCCAACAUGGAGGUCGGGCUUUCAAGGUCUCCUUAACACGGUGUGAUUGCUCUUGCGGGAGGCCGUCGUUGCUUCAUCUCCCAUGCUCACACUUGUAUACCGCCGGUCGUGUUAGGAAUGUGGAUGUCAAACACCCCCUCACCGUGAGGGAGUCGGAGUUCUCAAUCCAAACGGCUAAGAAAACAUGGGCUCCCCGCUUUCACCCAUACUUUGACCAAUCACAAUGGCCAGAGUACCAUGGAGUUCAACUAUGGCCGGAUCUGGAGUUGAAGGUUGUGAAACGGGGUAGACGUAAGAUAAAGCGUCUCCAAGGCGACAUGGACGAAUGGGGUCAUGGUGGCCGCCACGAAGCGGGCAACGACCAAUUCCAAGAGCCUCGUGAGAGCUCCUGUUGUGGGGAAUGCAAAGGUCAUGACCACAACAAAAGAAAAUGUACAAAACCACGAAAAAGGUCCAAGAAAAAUGAUGCAAGCACAAGCCAACAAGGAGGUACACAAGGUAGCCAACCAAGUGGUAGCCAACAAGUGCCAAGGCAACCAAGUGGUAGCCAACAAGUGCCAAGGCAACCAAGUGGUAGCCAACAAGGAUCUAGGCAACAAAGAGGGAGGCAACUAGGACUUACAAGAGGCUGUGGUGGUGGUAGAGCUCGUGGCGGUGGUCUAGGCCGUGGUGGUGGUAGAGCUCGGGGUGGUGGACUUGGUCGUGGUGAUGGUCUUGACCUUGGUGGUGGACUUGGCCGUGGCGAUGGUUUUGGUCGUGGUGAUGGCACUACUAGAAAAAUGGCUAUAGCUAAUAUGAACAUUAAUGGCGCACUAUACAUGUGGCGCGCCACUGCGAUAUAA